rnacentral:lncRNA from 1 species
UGAGCCUUGCUUCCACCAUUAGUAUAUUUUCUUGCUUCACCUAGUCUUUUAUUGAUAUUGCUCUACUGAUUGACUUAGUCUUCCUUUGUGUUUGCAAUGAUAAAGUUCAAGAUGAUUGAGUUGUUUAGCUCUUCAAGGAAGAGGAGGUCUGGAGAGGCUAGUCCCUCCUCAAGCAGAAGGAAGAAGAAGGCAACAACAGGCUCAAUUGUCAUCAAAGCCAGGCUUUCUGCUGCAUCAGGCUCCGCUUCUAGGGCCAAGGAGAGAACCAUUAUAGGAGACUCGCCAAAGGCGGAGGUGAUCGCUACCCCUCCCCUCUUUGUCCAUUGGCCCACCAUGGAGGCCAACUAGGGAAUGCUUCCAGUUGAUGCCUCUGAGUCCAUUCCAGUGGUCGCUC